CACGUAGGGUGCGAGCGUUGUCCGGAAUUAUUGGGCGUAAAGAGCUCGUAGGCGGUGUGUCGCGUCGGCCGUGAAAACCUGGGGCUUAACUCUGGGCGUGCGGUCGAUACGGGCAUCACUGGAGUUCGGCAGGGGAGACUGGAAUUCCUGGUGUAGCGGUGAAAUGCGCAGAUAUCAGGAGGAACACCGGUGGCGAAGGCGGGUCUCUGGGCCGAUACUGACGCUGAGGAGCGAAAGCGUGGGGAGCAAACAGG
rnacentral:rRNA from 1 species